rnacentral:misc_RNA from 1 species
GAUGAAGAACGUAGUGAAAUGCGAUAAGUAGUGUGAAUUGCAGAUUUCAGUGAAUCAUCGAAUCUUUGAACGCACAUUGCGCCCGCUGGUAUUCCGGCGGGCAUGCCUGUUCGAGCGUCAUUUCAACCCUCAAGCCCCCGGGUUUGGUGUUGGGGAUCGGCUCUGCCCUUCUGGGCGGUGCCGCCCCCGAAAUACAUUGGCGGUCUCGCUGCAGCCUCCAUUGCGUAGUAGCUAACACCUCGCAACUGGAACGCGGCGCGGCCAUGCCGUAAAACCCCAACUUCUGAAUGUUGACCUCGGAUCAGGUAGGAAUACCCGCUGAACUUAAGCAUAUCAAUAAGCGGAGGA